GGCGAACGGGUGAGUAACACGUAGGUAAUCUGCCUCAGAGAUUGGGAUAACUCGGCGAAAGCCGGACUAAUACCAAAUAAUGCAACGACUUCUCCGGGAGAUGUUGUUAAAGUGGGCUUCGGCUCACACUUUGAGAUGAGCCUGCGUCCGAUUAGCUUGUUGGUGAGGUAAUGGCUUACCAAGGCGAUGAUCGGUAGCUGGUCUGAGAGGACGAUCAGCCACACUGGAAUUGAGAUACGGUCCAGACUCCUACGGGAGGCAGCAGUGGGGAAUUUUGCGCAAUGGGCGAAAGCCUGACGCAGCAACGCCGCGUGAUCGAUGAAGCUCUUCGGAGUGUAAAGAUCUGUCAUAAGGGAAGAACAACUUUAAUAUAAAUAAUAUUAGAAUUUGACGGUACCUUAUAAGAAAGCACCGGCUAACUUAGUGCCAGCAGCCGCGGUAAUACUAGGGGUGCAAGCGUUGUCCGGAUUCAUUGGGCGUAAGGGUGCGUAGGCGUCCGGGAAAGUUAUUUGUUAAAUCCUUCGGGCUUAACCGAAGAAAUGCACGUAAAACUAACCGGAUAGAGUUUAAGAGAGGAAAGUGGAAUUCCUGGUGUAACGUGACAUGCCUAGAUAUCAAGAGAACGUCAAUGGCGAACGCAGCUUUCUGGCUUACACUGAAGCUGAGGCACAAAAGCAUGGGUAGCACACGGGUUAGAUAACCUGCUAAUCCAUG
rnacentral:rRNA from 1 species